rnacentral:sRNA from 1 species
UAAACUACGUAUUAUCCUAAAAUAACCCUCAGAUAAUAACAGGGCAUUCGGGAUUUUCAGAUUAAACUCAAUAAAGGAAUUUGCGGCAAGACACAGACAACGGGAAUUGUCCGAUAAGAAAAGCCGAUAGUAAUAUCGGCUUUAA